UGCCUACGGGACGCAGCAGUGGGGAAUAUUGCACAAUGGGCGAAAGCCUGAUGCAGCAACGCCGCGUGAAGGAAGAAGGCCUUCGGGUCGUAAACUUCUGUCCUUGGGGAAGAAGAACUGACGGUACCCAAGGAGGAAGCCCCGGCUAACUACGUGCCAGCAGCCGCGGUAAUACGUAGGGGGCAAGCGUUAUCCGGAAUUAUUGGGCGUAAAGGGUGCGUAGACGGGAAAACAAGUUAGUUGUGAAAUCCCUCGGCUUAACUGAGGAACUGCAACUAAAACUAUUUUUCUUGAGUGUUGGAGAG
rnacentral:rRNA from 1 species